GAUGAACGCUGGCGGCGUGCCUAAUACAUGCAAGUCGAGCGAACAGACGAGAAGCUUGCUUCUCUGAUGUUAGCGGCGGACGGGUGAGUAACACGUGGAUAACCUACCUAUAAGACUGGGAUAACUUCGGGAAACCGGAGCUAAUACCGGAUGAUAUAUUGAACCGCAUGGUUCAAAAGUGAAAGACGGUCUUGCUGUCACUUAUAGAUGGAUCCGCGCUGCAUUAGCUAGUUGGUAAGGUAACGGCUUACCAAGGCAACGAUGCGUAGCCGACCUGAGAGGGUGAUCGGCCACACUGGAACUGAGACACGGUCCAGACUCCUACGGGAGGCAGCAGUAGGGAAUCUUCCGCAAUGGGCGAAAGCCUGACGGAGCAACGCCGCGUGAGUGAUGAAGGUCUUCGGAUCGUAAAACUCUGUUAUUAGGGAAGAACAUAUGUGUAAGUAACUGUGCACAUCUUGACGGUACCUAAUCAGAAAGCCACGGCUAACUACGUG
rnacentral:rRNA from 1 species